AGGAGAUCUCUGCAUGCGGCCAAUUCAUCCGAUAAAAGGUUAGCAACAUUUCACCACUGAAAAGUUGUCAUGUUGUUUUUCUAUAGUAGAUCUCCUAUGCUUGUCAUUUCUAAACAUGCUGGUAACAAAAAUAAUAUUUCUGUACAUAUCUUUUUCUGCAAUUAGUGCGCCUUUACUGGACUCGUCAAAGUUCAGAGAUGUGCUUUUUAUGUCAUAUAUAAUUGAAUAUAAGUGGAAAAUUAAUUUCCAAGCGCACCUGUAAAAUAAAAUCUCUCCUGAGUUGAGCUAAUUUUAUGCUUAUUGGGCAAAUAAAUCAGCGAGCAAUGCUGGCAGUUCUACUUCAUAUCUUUGUUUCAUAGAGCCAGCUGACCAAAAACCACAGGAAUACACGUUUUGCGUCCUCCCCUAUAUUUGUUCUUUCUAAAGCAUCACAAGGAAAAUCCACAUGCAUAUUGGAAGGAAAGGAUGGCAGAUUCUUGACUUACCAACCAUUCCAGCUGGAAGAGUGGCUGCUGCCAUGUACCACACAAAGGGGACCACCUUCAAGCAACAAGCGGGAAAGCCUCAUCAUGCAAUUUGAAAACAACUGCAGGCCAAUAGAAUCAGAAAUUUGAAAGGCUAAUGACGUGAUAAACGGCUUUAGCAAGUUCACCUUGUAGAGCGCAUGGACCAUGCCCUCCGGAUCAUUUAUGUUAGUUCCGAAGGCAUCGAGCGCCUUUCCAAGGAGGAGAUACCCGACCGGGAAUGCCAUGCCGUGGAUGAUAGACCCAAGGGUUCCCAGGGCCAUGAGGAGCCAAUCUACCGUGUCGGCGUAGUAAAGCAGCCCAAAGAAUGAGAACGACUCCUCGUCGGCGCUAGCCUCGGGGGAGGCUGAAACCGUGCUCUUCCUUUCAUCCGUGUCAUCGGCAUGAGAUGAUGACAUCGAGUGGUCUUCAUAGUAGCUCAUGGGCCUCAUGGCCAUCCUUUUCCCCCCAGUGGAUUUUGUGAACGUUUUGCGGUAGAGCCGCAGUAUAUAUGGGAAGGGAGAUGCAUAGCUAGCAUAGAUGGCAUCAGUAUUAUUAUAUAUAUAUGCAUAGACGGUGCGUUUUUGGGCAUGCCAGUUUACAUGCAGAUGUAUAUACUGACAACCAUAUUCUCCCAAGAGGCUUAAAAAAACACUAUAAUAGCAGGCAUUUCCAAUGUUGGAGGUAAAAUAGUCUGGCUUUAAACAAGCACUAUAGUAGGUACUCCCGAGGUUCUACUUGUACAUAUACAUAAUGAUCUUUCUUUCUUUCUUAAGCUGACAGUUUCUUUCAUUCAUUAAGGUCUAGAUGGGGAAACAACAAAGGCGUGGCUUACUGGAAAUUUGAUUUGGGUUGAGAAAACUGAAAACCCAGCAGUGAUCCUCCCAGAUGGAGUAAAUAAGAGAGGAGGAGGGAAGAUGCUUAAUUUUCAUUAAUCUGCAUGUUAUCUCUACUAGGAAACAGCAACAAGCCAUUCCAUCAAAUGGGCUAAUCAGGUACUCCCUCUAGUCACGAAAGAGCAAUGAAGACGUCGUUUCAUGCAUUCUAUUUUUUUUUUUUGUGUGUGUGUGUCAGUAGAGAUUUUCUUUCACUCAUAUUCUAAGUUAGGGACUAGGGUACUUCUGAUGAAAAAAAUAUAAAUAUAUACUGUUUCUGACUAUCAGUUUCUGAAGUUUUUUAAUAUUGGCACUGCCACACAUCUCCUACGAGAAUGGAAGUCCCAUCUGAAAUAUUCGAUCUGAAAGUUAAAUCAGUGUCUUGAAUCUCACUCUACUCUAAAAGAUCCCUCGCCUCUUGCCCCUAGUACGACAACCGUGCAUGUUAGGAACGCACAAGGUCAGGUCCGGUCUGCACGCCACGCAUGCAAUAGGUUGAAGAGCGCUUACAAGACCAAGGCGGGUGUCGAGGAAUAACUGGAGCAUGAUUCGGGCAUAUGCCCCCUUGAGACUGCGCAUAGGACACGCGCGGCUGUCCAUGUCGCAAUGUCAUCGCGGCCAGCCCCGAAUGCUUGUCUUCGCCUGGCGCUGGCGGCCUGGAAACGCUUCGCUGAUGCGUUUGCUUCCAAACAGAGAAGCGCCAAAAGGGGAGGGCUCUCUCUUGCAGCGUGCGUUCAUUCUCAACUGACGAUGAAUGAGUGACUAACAACAGCUUCACCGGAAUACUCUUGUGCAGGCUGCUGAAGAUCUCCGCAUCUGGCUCGGUGGUGGUGGUUUUCGACGGGGUUUGAUGUUUUGGCUGAUGAGGAAGGGAACCGCAAUGGGUUCAUUCUCCAGAAUCUGGGGACAGGAGUUGCCACCUCGGCUUCGCAGCUCCGCGGCUGUCAGACGGCGGGUCUCGGACGGUUGCGCGCUGCGGCAGGCAUAUGCUGCCGGCUCUCUUGUUCGUUUUCUCAGUGGCCACCGGACCAGCGGCGCGUGCAGAAACAUCUCAGGUGUUGUUGGCGUGUUGCCAUGGCGUAAUCCGAGUCAUACAUAUCUCGUUCAUGGUAUAAGCUAGGAAUAUCCGGGUGCCAUGGCCCAUGGAUGGAAACACGCCGGGGACGACGACUCGUUCAAACGGCCUGUUCAAAAUUUCAAGUGUAUGUGUAUUUAUUUAUUUGUCUCUCAUGUGUUUCUUUUGCCCACCAAUCAUCAGUGGCGUGGCCGGAGGUGCCGCCCGAGAGAGACGCACGCAUUCUGUAUGUCCGAUCCGCGUUCCAUCAGCCCGGGCAGAUUUGGUAUCUGAUCUGUAUGCAUCAGCAACUCGUUGUUUUUUUGCCCUUCUUCUUAAAGUCUCCUCGCAUUUGAUGCGUCUUCUCUCACGUCUUGUAUUUUCUAACCCUCCAUAAUCUCCUAAUUCAGUGUUGGGGUUGGAUAUGUAUGGUAAUUGGUAAAUGUUGUACUUAAGGCAUGUUUGGUUCCGUGCCUAAUUUGCCACACUUUGUCUAACUUUUCUGUCUAAGGUUAAUUUUUCAAUUUGAAUGACUAACUUUAUGCAAAGUGUGGCGUAGUUAGCUACGAACCAAACAGCCCCUUAGCGUGUUAUUGGAA
rnacentral:lncRNA from 1 species